CGCCUUCCGGGCCUGGCCGGUUCCGCCUGCAGGCGCCGGGAUGCUGCUGUCGCGGGCGGGCGGUGUGGCGGGCCGGGUCCCGCCGCCGCUGGCCGCCCUGUCCCAGGUGCUGCGGCUGGAGCGGAGCCGCCGCACCGGGAUCAUGUUCCCGCUGCAGAAGCUGGAGCGGUACCUGGCGCCCGGCACCGACACGGCGUGGUUCCACAUCUUCGAGCCCGGGCUGGGCGCCCUGCAGCGCGCCGAGGCGUUCUUCAGGUCCGGCCAGGGCCACCCCAUCGACUACGUGAGCUCCGCCGUCCGCAUGGACCACGCUCCGCCGCCCGCCCUGCCCGAGGUUUGCUUCAUCGGCCGAAGCAAUGUAGGGAAGUCAUCUUUAAUCCGGGCCUUGUUUUCACUGUCUCCAGAAGUGGAGGUCAGAGUGUCAAAAACUCCGGGCCACACUAAGAAGAUGAAUUUCUUCAAAGUAGGGAAGUACUUUACUCUGGUGGAUAUGCCAGGAUACGGCUACCGCGCCCCGCAAGACUUUGUGGAGAUGGUGGAGGCCUACCUGCAGGAACGGCGCAACUUGAAGAGGACUUUUCUGUUAGUUGAUGGUGUAGUUGGACUCCAGAAAACAGAUCAUAUUGCAGUAGAGAUGCUGGAAGAGUUUGGAAUUCCUUAUGUGAUGGUGUUAACCAAAAUUGACCGAGCUUCCCGGGGACUGUUGUUAAAGAAUGUACUGGGGAUCCAGGAGUUUGUAAAGGAGAACACUCAGGGAUGCUUUCCUCAAUUGUUCCUGGUCAGUUCUGUGGAGUUUUCAGGAGUUCACUUGCUAAGGUGUUUUGUAGCCCACGUUACUGGAAACCUGGCUGCUGUAGAGACCAGCUAAAAAGACUGACUCCUGAUCUGCUCAGCUCAUCCGGAACAAAAGUAGGUGCAGUGAGAUAGCACGCCUUGCUUGCAUACAUCGAGUUGUCCCUGUUCCAGAUGGGUGAAGGAAAGGACACAUCUUCAAUGGGAUCUACUUUUCGAUCACUGUUGGCUUGAAACAGUGAAAUGAAAGACUGGCCAUCUGGAGGAACCCUCUUUUUCUGCACAUUAUCAUCAGUCAGUGCUGCAUUUCUGUUCUCGAUCCAGCAUGAAGUUCUGCAUCUGCACUCGGAUGAAUUGCCAGAUCUGAGACCUGUUGUCCAUUAUCUGUGUCUGUUCUGCCCUGGCAGCUGAAGCACAGUACUGAUGUGUCCCAUACUCUUUAGGGGUACUGUAGCAGCUCAGAGAACUGUGUCCCACACCAGCUGUGUCUGGCUAAGAGCACCUGAAACUGUGAAGUUUACAAGGUGACCUGACUGGUGGAUGAGGGGAAGACUGUCGAUGUGGUCUACGUGGACUUCAGCAAAGCCUUUGGUGAAGUGUCCCAUAGCAUACUCCUGAAAAAGCUGGCAGCCCAUGGCUUUGACAGGGGCACUCUGUGCUGGGUUAGGAAUUGGCUGGAGGGCCGGGCCCAGAGAGUGGUGGUGUCCCUCAGGGAUCAGUGUUGGGUCCAGUUCUAUUUAAUAUCUUUAUUGAUGAUCUGGAAGAGGGGAUUGAGUCCACCAUCAGCAAAUUUGCAGGUGGCACCAAGCUGAGGGGCGUGUCAAUUUGCUGGAGGGUAGGAGGACUCUGCAGGGGAAACUGGACAGGCUGGAUGGAUGGCUCAAAUCCAAUAGUAUGAGAUUUAACAAGACCAAGUGCCAGGUCCUGCACUUUGGCCACAACAACCUCCUGCAGCACUACAGGCUGGGCACAGAGCAGCCAGGCAGAGAGAGACCUGGGGGUUCUGAUUGACAGGAGGCUGAACAUGAUCCAGGAGUGUGCCCAGGUGGCCAAGAAGGCCAAUUGCAUCCUGGCCUGUAUCAGGAACAGUUUGGCCAACAGGACUAGGGAAGUGAUUGUCCCUCCAUACUCAGCACUGGUUAGGCCACUGCUCAAGUACUGUGUCCAGUUCUGGGCCCCUCAGUUUAGGAAGGAUGUUGAGGUGCUGGAGCGUGUCCAGAGAAGGGUAACAAAGCUGGUGAAGGGUCUGGAGCACAAGUCCUAUGAGGAGCAGCUGAGGGAGCUGGUGUUUUUUAGCCUGGACAAAAGGAGGCUUGGGGGGAUCCUCAUUGCUCUCUACAACUUCCUGAAAGGAGGUCAUAGCCAAGUGGGGGUCAGUCUCCCAGGCAGCUAGCGACAGGACAAGAGAACAGAGUCUUAAGCUACGCCAAGGGAGGCUCAGGUUGGACAUUAGGAAGAAGUUCUUCUCAGUAAGAGUGAUUGGGCAUUGGAAUGGACAACCCAGGGAGGUGGUGAAGUCACCAUCCCUGGAGGUGUUUUAAGAAAAGACAGGAUGAGGCACUUAGUGUCAUGGUCUAGAUGGAGUUAGGUCAUAGGUUGGACUCGAUAACCUCAGAGGUCUUUUCCAACCUCGUUGAUUCUCUGAUUCUGUGAAUUCUUUUACAAACCACUUAAAUACAUUAAAUGUGUCUAGUAAAUCCAUUUGUAUAAAAAGUGGGACGUGUGCCUGGAACAGUAGGUACCUUCUUAUCCUGAAGAACCAGCUUUGCCUCUGGACACAUCUUGUAUUUCUGCUGUGCUAGUCAAAAGAUCUUUACUCACAAGUGCUUCAAAUAGUGGAAUAACUUGCAUUUUGCUCAGCCAUUUGCAGGCGAGAACACCACAGUUGGAUUCUUGAGUGCAACAGUGCCCCUGUGACAAGUGACAAGUAAGACAGCAAAUAAAAGCAAGUCCUCUCCUUUACUUAAACAGUAAAA